rnacentral:lncRNA from 10 species
GUAACAUGAUGCCACCAGCCACCGGCCACCCUCUCUUCCUCCUUCCUUAACCCUUCAGCACCUAGAGAGCUGGUCCUUGACUUCCGACCUCACUUGACCCCUUCCCUGACACAGAAGCAGGUUCCUCGGCCGGGUCAUCUGGGACACACUGGCCCUUGCCCUCUCUUGAAUUUGCCCUGUGCCCUGAGGUGAGCGUUGACCUCUCUCCUCUCUGACAGGGAGAACCAAGCCACCCCAGCUGCCUCAGAGGUGUGGGUGGCUUAAUGAGUCAAUGUUGGUGAAGUUCUUUGAAGACACAAAGUGCUCCGUAAAAGCUGGUUCCCAUCUUGCUGACAAAGGCGCUCCCUGAGCUCUGGCCCUUCUGAUAGAGAGUGGGCUUCUGUGGUCCUUCCUCCCUUCUUCUUUAUGGAUGACCCCCAGUUGCUUCUCUUCUCCACGGUGAUUUCUGCAUACUUUAUCCAAACCCCCUCCCCACCGCUGUUCAGUUUCUGGCUCCUCUUCCUGCCCGUGCUCUGAGGCCAGCUGGGGGCCUCCCAGGUGACUCCUGCUGCUGCUGUCACUGGACCCUGACGCUGUGCCGCACCCGAAUUCCUCCGAAUGGAGCCUUGGCCAGAGCAAGGCGUGCCGUGUAGAGGAGCGGAUCUGAGCCUGGCAGGAGAUCGCUAAAACCUUUGCCCUUCACACAAACGCGGAAGCACGGGGCGGGUGCUGAAGAGCCAAGCAAGUGUCCCCCAUUUCCUUCCAAGGCAGAGCAGCAGCCCAGGGAGGCCCAGUUUCCAUCGCGGCAGAAGGGCAGAAGAGUGGGGGAGGUCCCAGGACCACAGCCCAGGGGACACUCAGGAUGCGCCAGGAAGGACAUGGCAGACAGGCCCUUUAGGUGGAAAAGCAACCCUCAGCUGCCCAGAGAGCGGCCCCUCCAGGCCCUCCCCGCCGUCUGCAAAGCUCUUCAGCUGGGAGAGGAGGAAAGGGUUUGUUCUUGACCUCCUUCCUUUCCUUUCUUCUCCACUGUCCACCAGAGAGCAGGAAGACAGGCUGAUGCUCUUGUUAAAGAUGAAGGCAUAAUUCACAUGCCAUAAAAUUCACCAUUUUAACCAUUUUAAGGUGCACAGUUCAGUGGUUUUGAGUGCAUUACAUUGUUGGGCAACCAUCAGCAUGGUCUAAUUCCAAAACAUUUCUGUCACUCCAAAAAGAAAUCUUGUACCCAUUAGCAGUCACUCCCCAUUUCCCCCUACCCCCCAGCCCCCCGGCACCCACGAAGGUGCUUUCUCUGUUUCGAGGGAUCUUCCUAUUGUGGCAAAUCCUCUGAAUGGAAUCAUACAAUAUGUGGUCUUCUGCCACUGGCUUCUUUCACUGACCAUAAUUUUUCAAGGUUCACCCACGUUGUAGCAUGCGUCAGCGCUUCAUUCCUUUCCAUGGCUGGACUGUAUUUCAUUGUAUGUCUGGACCACAUUCUGUUUCUCUAGUCAUCAGUUGAUUACUUACUUUUCAGGGCCCACUUAGCCUUUCUUCCCAAGGGCAGGGGCUCUGUUGUCCACUGUUUUGGAGUCUUCCAGCAGACUUGAUGGAGUGUACCAGUGGUUUCCUUGCUGGGCAAAUAACCAGAGGGUCCCUGGGUACGGGAAUCUCUGAGUCCUGAUCUUUGGCUCUGCUGCAGACCAGGUCACUGUAUGAUCUUUUAGCAGCCUCUUUACCUCACCUGGCCUCAGUUUCUUCAUCUGAAAAAUGAAGGGCUUGAAGCAGAUGGUCUCUAACACUUCUCCUGGCCCAACACUUUAAGAUGUUUCAGCAAAGCAGUGAAGAAGCAGCCUUCUGUGACCUUUCUGAACAAGGCAGAGGAAAGCAAGCUGUAGGCUGACAUAGUUAGGUGAUUCCAUAACAAAAUUGCGCUGUAAACAAUCAUCUGGAUCAAUCGACAGAAGGCACUUGCAACAGGUUCCCAGAUGACAGAAAACUAUAGGAAUGACAGGGAAGGAAUGAUGGGGCAGAUUAAAAUGGAGAAAUUUAACAGGGACAAAUGUAAAAGUCGGACAUUUUGCUCCAAAGUUCAACAGAACAGCUACCUGCUUUGUUGGAUAUGUUCAGGCAGUGUCCUUUAUAAGAGUUUGAUUGACUCUAAAUGAAUCUCAUUAUGAGUCACCAUUGGGACAGGCUGCCAAAAGGCCAAUGUGACUUCAGAUUAAAUCAAUAGAGGUCUACUGGCUGAAACAAGGGAGGUGACAUUAUUGAGUCCAUCCCUGGUGUAUGUAGCUGCUACCCUCUGAGAAGGAGGCCCCCAAUAGGAAAAGCCAGAGGGAGGAUGGAUAAGACAUGAAGAGCUCUAGAACCAUGGUUUGGUAGUAGGAGGGGCUCAGGGUUUGGGUCUUUAAAAGAUAAGACAGAGAGUGCUGUUCACAUCUGUGAAGGAACAUGGCAUGAGAAGGGGAGUUGACUUCCACCAUGGGGACCUGCAGGGUGACUGGGGCUGGAAGAUGAUCAAUUGUGACCCAGGACCAGGAAGAACUUCGCAGCAACAAAAGUCACAGGAAAUGGAAAAAACUCCUGGUGAAGAACACAG